UACGUAGGCAGCAAGCGUUGUUCGGAGUUACUGGGCGUAAAGAGUGCGUAGGCGGUUCUGUAAGUUUGGUGUGAAAUCUCCCGGCUCAACUGGGAGGGUGCGCCGAAGACUGCAGGGCUUGAGUAUGGGAGAGGUAAGCGGAAUUCCUGGUGUAGCGGUGAAAUGCGCAGAUAUCAGGAAGAACACCCGUGGCGAAGGCGGCUCUCUGGGACGGUACUGACGCUGAGACGCGAAAGCGUGGGGAGCGAACAGG
rnacentral:rRNA from 1 species